UAUAUAUUUCUUUUUAUAGAGUUUUAAAUGUUUAAAUAUGUACAUGUGUUGAUACAUCAUACAACUGAUACAUGUUCAGAAUUCCAAGGGGCUUCUGCCUUAAGUUCUGAAAAGGAUGAUUCUGAAAAUGCACAUUUAUUAGAGAUAGUGGCUACUGGAGAUGUCUUUAUGAUUGAAACUGAUAAUGUUUCAGCAUAUGCUUCAUUUAGAAUAGAACAAUCAUUUUUAGACAUUAUGACACAUAAACUGUUACAGCUAUAACUUAUAGUCCUAAAGGUCAAGCAAUUGUAAAGAGAUCUAACAGGAAUUUAAAGGAAAUGCUCAUAGAACAAACAGAAGGGGGAUAUGGAAUCUCCCAACAAUUUUUUAAAAUAAUGCUUUAUUGACUUUUAAUUUUUUUUAAAUGCCAGUGAGACCUAGCAUAGCUGCUGAAAAGCACUGGAUUUUAGAAAUGGCUGCUGAAUUUUGUUGUGAUCAAUAUAAAUGUGAUAACCUCAGAAUGGAAGGCAGGAAACACGUUGCUCUGGGGAAGAGAGUAUGCUCUUACUUCAACAGGAGAAGAAAACUAAGUAUUCUAUAAAAUUAAUAAAAAUCAGUUUUGACAGGGGAUUACCCCCUGAAGAUCUUGACUGCAGACAGACAAGAAGAACAUAAUCAAGAAAAAAAACAGGCCUGCUCCUGGCAGCACCCCCAUUCUACUUCAAAGAAGAUAAUGGGCAUUGAAGAACCUCUCCAGAUAGAGUUUGCUUCAAAAUGGCAAGCUAGCCACUGAGCCCUCGCUUCAACUGCUGACGGUGUGCUGCCAAGCUUUACCAAGACAGAGUUAGGCAUUCCUUCAUACUUCCUGCUUCACAAAAAGUCUGUCAGACAUUCUGUGCCAGUGGGCUAAAGAUGAUGCUCCAGUAACACAGGGAAAUUGGGGGACAAGGGCUGUCCAGGCCUCCAGCUUCCUCUAUCAUUUCUGUAGUUUUGGGAGCUGCUUGCCUGCACUUCCUACAGCGACUGAGACCGAAGCAGCAGGCAUUUUCUAUAGAAGACCAGGGAGUGAAUGUUGCGGACUCUGUGGCUCUGUCACAACUGCUCAGCCAUGCCUAAGUGAGAAGGCAUGCAAUGAACUUAACCUGCAAAAACAGCCACAGGUCAGAGUUGAUUAACGUGUCAUGGCUUGUUGAUCUCUCAGCUGAAGACCAAAGACCAUGCUUAAAAUGCAGAUUAGAUUCAAAUGCAUAUCGUGUCUGUAGCAUGGAUGGUAUUAAAUAGAAGCUAUUGUC